rnacentral:rRNA from 1 species
UACGGAGGGAGCUAGCGUUGUUCGGAAUUACUGGGCGUAAAGCGCACGUAGGCGGCUUUGUAAGUUAGAGGUGAAAGCCCGGGGCUCAACUCCGGAACUGCCUUUAAGACUGCAUCGCUUGAAUCCAGGAGAGGUGAGUGGAAUUCCGAGUGUAGAGGUGAAAUUCGUAGAUAUUCGGAAGAACACCAGUGGCGAAGGCGACUACCUGGCCUGUUUCUUGACGCUGAGGCGCGAAAGCUAGGGGAGCAAACGGG